rnacentral:rRNA from 1 species
UACGUAGGGGGCAAGCGUUGUCCGGAAUCAUUGGGCGUAAAGAGCGUGUAGGCGGCUUGGUAAGUCCGCUGUGAAAGUCCAGGGCUCAACCCUGGAAAGCCGGUGGAAACUGUCAAGCUUGAGUCCGGAAGAGGCGAGUGGAAUUCCUGGUGUAGCGGUGAAAUGCGCAGAUAUCAGGAGGAACACCAAUGGCGAAGGCAGCUCGCUGGGACGGUACUGACGCUGAGACGCGAAGGCGUGGGGAGCAAACAGG